rnacentral:tRNA from 1 species
GUUCAUUUAGCUUAAUUGGUAGUAGUCUUAUCCUUCUAAGAUAUUGGGUUUGGGUUCGAAUCCCAAAAUGAAUU